GGGGGGGGGGGGGGGGGGGCGGGGGGGGGGGGGGGGGGGGGGGGGGGGGGGGGGGGGGGGGGGGGCUCGGGGGGCGAGCGGGUGAGUGACACGUGGGUACCCUGCCCUUGACUUUGGGAGAGCUUCCGGGACCUGGGGCUACUACCGGAUAGGCGCUCCUGCUGCAUGGUGGGGGGUGGACGGUUUCGGCGGUUGGGGAUGGACUCGCGGCUUAUCCGCUUGUUGGUGGGGUAGUGGCUUACCAAGGCGUUGACGGGUCGCCGGCCUGAGAGGUUGACCGGCCACAUUGGGACUGAGAUACGGCCCAGACUCCUACGGGAGGCAGCAGUGGGGAAUAUUGCACAAUGGGCGGAAGCCUGAGGCAGCAACGCCGCGUGCGGGAUGACGGCCUUCGGGUUGUAAACCGCUUUCGCCUGUGACGAAGCGUGAGUGACGGUAAUGGGUAAAGAAGCACCGGCUAACUACGUG
rnacentral:rRNA from 1 species